UGUGAGAGCAAGAGCCCGGAGAUGGAACCUGAGACAAGGUUCCAGGCCCUACGGGGUGCAGCAGGCGCGAAACCUCCGCAAUGUGAGAAAUCGCGACGGGGGGAUCCCAAGUGCCAUUCUUAACGGGAUGGCUUUUCAUUAGUGUAAAGAGCUUUUGGAAUAAGGGCUGGGCAAGACCGGUGCCAGCCGCCGCGGUAACACCGGCAGCUCUAGUGGUAGCAGUUUUUAUUGGGCCUAAAGCGUCCGUAGCCGGUUUAAUAAGUCUCUGGUGAAAUCCUGUAGCUUAACUGUGGGAAUUGCUGGAGAUACUAUUAGACUUGAGACCGGGAGAGGUUAGAGGUACUCCCAGGGUAGAGGUGAAAUUCUGUAAUCCUGGGAGGACCGCCUGUUGCGAAGGCGUCUAACUGGAACGGUUCUGACGGUGAGGGACGAAAGUUAGGGGCGCGAACCGGAUUAGAUACCCGGGUAGUCCUAACUGUAAACGAUGCGGACUUGGUGUUGGGAUGGCUUUGAGCCGCUCCGGUGCCGAAGGGAAGCUGUUAAGUCCGCCGCCUGGGAAGUACGGUCGCAAGACUGAAACUUAA
rnacentral:rRNA from 1 species